UGGUGGAGUGAUUUGUCUGGUUAAUUCCGAUAACGAACGAGACCUUAGCCUGCUAAAUAGCUAGGCUAAUCUUCUGAUUGGUCGCCAGCUUCUUAGAGGGACUGAUGGCGUUUAGCCAUUGGAAGUUUGAGGCAAUAACA
rnacentral:rRNA from 1 species